AAAGCAGAGUAAUGCAAAUUAGAACUCAGAAGUGCCCUGUCAUUUAAAAAUAAACCUCUGCAAACUUCAUAAAAUGCAGAUCUACUCACUCCAAGCCACAGCUUCUUUGAGAAGAUGGAUGAUCAGGGAAUAUGUGAUGCCUGCUAUUAAUGCAUUAUGUAGGUAAAGUCUAAUUAAUUAAGUAAUUAAUUGCAUCUCUGAUAUUGCAGAGUUAAUACCCUUCAAUUAAGCAAUGCCAUGAAAUGGGACAUUGGAUGCUCAGUGGUGCUAAAAUGUAAAUUAGUGGAAUGCAGUCAAAGGAAUUGCUUCAUGGGAAAAGAGUGUACAAUUUGCCUAGCAAAUUUGGGUACAAAUGCUGGGAUGUCUCACCCACCCUUUCCACCUUGGAGGACGAGAAAUACCUCAAUGAAACUUCAUGUUGCUGUGGUUCCACUGACUGCAGAGUCCACUGAAUUAAGGGAUUCAUGAUAUCCCUGGACCCAAUGGCUGAAAGUUCCCUUCAGGAUUUCCACAUGCCAUCAUCUGGGAGUGCCCAAGAUGCUGACCCAUCAUCCUUCAUCCAGCCUCGUGACUCCCAUCUCCUUUAUUUGCAUUUCUGAUGAUAACAUGAAUCUUUAGGUGGACUUCGACCUUUUGACUUCUCUUGAGCAAGAGUACAGGAGCCAAUUCUCCCACUAGUUACAUCCAAACAAUCCCUUUGAUAUCAGAAAGGCUAGAGUUUAUGGAGAGAGACUGCCAAACUUGACCUUUAAUCUAAUUGGCAUUGUAGAAUAGUUCAAGCAAACAAACAAAAAAAAAAAAGCACAACAUAAAUCAGAUUCAAUAGUAAUUGCUAACAAUUACCACCAGAGCAGGAAAAGAUGGCUUUAUCUCAAAAGGCAAAUGGAACCACCUGACAUCAGACAAAGGACAGUUCCCAAGUCCUCAUCACCAUGGCACUGGAAAGUGUCAGGGCACCCAGCCUGGCAUCGCCUUUAGGCAGAGCUGGCAGUGGCAAGAUGCAGCAGAUCUACAACACAAUCAAUAGCUCAGGCUGGCACAAUCACCUUUCACUAAGUAUGUUUGCCAAGUGCAGUAGAAGUUAAUAUUCAGUGAAAGUUCAAUAGCCACCAUUGAUUCAGCAUAUUAGUCCAGAGCAGGAGAUUUCCCUGUUAUUUUGUAAAUAUGUGCCCUGACAAAACAGUAAAUGUCACCCGUGAGCUCCUGCACGUUGUAAUCUGGGCUGUCACUGCCCAGCAGAUGCCUUGGAGGCUGAACUUGUGCUUCUCCCAUCACAAAAUUCACCAUUAACCACAGCUGUGGAGCCCAUGGAAGCAUUACAGUGAGAGAAACAAAGCCUCUGUGCACGGGCUGGUGCCUGAGCUGGUUUGCAGCAUCACGGUGCCAGUACUGCGAUCCCACGAGUGCAGAUGCAUGGAAGAGUGGAAGAGGAGCUGACACAGUGCAGCCAACAGUCCCAGCAAGUAUCAUUCCAAGAGGCAACAUCUGGUUUUGACUUCAAAAUGGAUGUUCUGAACUUCUGGAAACAACGAGAGUUGCAGGUUGUGCUCCUUCAGCUGAACGAGAUCAACUCCGGCCAGAAUUACAAAUAUGUUCAUUCAUUCUCUGUGAAUUUAUGAGAACAUUAAAAAGCUACAAAAAAUGUCAGAUGUGUUGAUUGGUGUUUUAAUGGCAUGUUGGAUGUGCAAAUAACAGUCUUCAGCAGACAAAAGGCUAGUGCAGCUCCCAGGGACUCAGCUAGAGGGAGGCUCCCUCCUGGAUAUGAACCAUCAGGAGUCUUCACUGCAGCUCUGCUAAACUUACUCCAUAAAGGAAGCAAAGGUAUUAAUCUAGGGAAUACUACCUCUCCUUGCCACAAUAAAACAUACUCUGCUCUCCACCCUGGAAAAUAAUCUGGCCAGACUUGGAAAAAAAGUGAGAAUUCCUGGCCUUUCCAAGUGAACUCAAGUUUUCAAAGCACCUCCACAGAGCUUCCCUCAGUCAACAGAAGAACACAGCCAAGGUUCAGUGCCAGGAUCUCCUUCUGCUCACACAAAAGAGCCACAGUGGGACCUGUUAAAAGUUACAGUGUUUAAAAACAUGAGUGGCUGAAAGAUGUUCACAUCUGUUCCUAAAAGAUGUCAAAUUUUGUUAAAACUGCUUAUGGACUACUGUAAGGUUUUCAAGAGUUAAAAAAAAAUAAAAAUCAAACACCAAGAAACAAGAUUCUUCUACAGCACAGAGCAUUCACAGGAAUUGCUUUACCUGUGUUGCAAAUAUAUCCACCUGUGGGUCUUAAGAAAGCAUCUGUUUAAUAUUUCUUAUAAAUAUCAUGGUGAGAGACAGGGCUGGAAGAAAAGGAAAUUACUGUGUCUACCUGCAGAAAAUUGGAAAGACAGAGCACCAUUAAAGAAGAUGGAAUUCUCCCUGUACCCCAAGACUGACACACAUAAACUAAACUAAAACAAAUGCAAUUAGAUGCCUACAUUUCCAGAAACAGAUAGGACUUUAGGGUUUUCCUCUCACCCUAAAUACUGUAACUCCAGCAAGAAAGUUUCCUGUGGCAGAAAUUCAGUAUGAGCUUUAGAACAGCCUCUAUUAAAAAUGCAAAAGGAAAUAACUUGUAUAUUUGCUUUGAUGGAUUUGUUAUAUCAAAUCCAAGAAAGUGAGUUAUGGAACACAUCCCCUACUGUUAGAGAAAGCCAGAAUUUUAACCAGGUCUUUAACCAGCCUCCAAUUAAUCCAUUUUUCAUUGUUCAUCUCUCUAAACUAGAGAGAAGAAUGGCUCCUGACUCCUCAUGCUUCAAAAGCAAACUUCCUCCUCUAAAAAUUCUUCUACAAACAGGAAAAUAAACAGAAACCUGAACAAAUAAAUCUGAUUACACUCACUGUCUUUGUACAAUGAAAACAGCAGCCUUUGUUACAUUGUCUCCUUUCAAUAAGAUUAUUAGAGAGUAAAUUUAAAUAAAUAUCUCAAGAUUUGGAAGACCUUUAUAAUCCAAGUUGUUCAGUACCAAAGGAACAUAAAAUCAGCACAUGACCAUAGAAAGAAUCAGAUUUGCAGCCACCAAGCUUACCACAGGUGCUAGGAACUCACUCAUUUAUACUGGAGUAUUUUUGCAUCAUGUAGCAGGUAAUUUGAUAGUUUUUUUCACAAAACACAGCUAUUUGUUUUGUCUGCAUAAUGGAAGGUGACACAUCUGUUCAAUUUAUUAGUUCAGGCCAAUUUCCUUCCAGCUUUAUUUAUUUAUUAGCUUUCAGUGUUUUUUUCUUAACACAGGAGGAAGACAGGUCAAAUGUUGUCCCUCAGUCAUGUGUCAGAUCAGAACAGCAGGAACUUGUCUCUAAGUUUUUCAAAUCCUACUCAGAUUUUGGACAUUUCAUUCAGAUACUGAUAGUCAUUCAUGUCUAAAUUUAAAAUAUAAAAGACAAAAAAAGGUGGGAUACUCCACACCUGAUGGGAACCUGGGAUUUUUUUUUUCUGUUUGCUCUUCUGUGCCAAACAAAUCAAGCUAAAAUAAUAAACAACUUUUAAAGUUAUACCUUGUAUAUCAUCAGGGCUGAUAAAAGGUUUGAAUAUUGCUACAUCAAAAUAAGAGAUUUGUCUCAAAACAUGUCUUUGUGCCUGUUUUGAAUGGGACAGAGUGAAUUUCUUUCACAGUAACUGGUUUGGGUCUGUGUUUUGGAUUUGUGCUCCAAACAAUGCUGAUGUAUAGACCCAUUUUUGCUACUGCUGAGCAGGUUUUACACAAAGCCAAGUCCUUUCCUGCCACAUGAAUUAUGGAAAAGAAAAAAUUAACCUGUAGAAUUACUAUUCUGCAAAUGACAAUAUUUCUUCAUCCUAGAUUUCAUAAUUGGUUUCAUUUACAGUAAUUUGCCAUCAGUAGCACAUUAUGGAAGAGAAUAUAAGCACUCACAUGUUUGCUUUGCAGAAAUAACCUCCCAUUUACAAUUUUUUAAAUUUUUUCACCUUUCAUGAGCCUGAAAUAAUAAAAGAAGGGGAAAAUGGGAUCUCCAGGUUAUCAGUUCCUAUGCAGCAAACUCCACCUGCAUGCCAUCUUGAGUGCUGGGCAUUUCAGUGUGUUUUAUCCCAAAAUACCUCUGGAAUAAUCUGUGAGCAGGGCCCAGCACCACCCAGGGUGCAAAUUGCAACAACGAAUUUGGGGACAGUACGAGCCUAUGGGACAAGAGAGUGCUUGCUUUAGAUUUAGAACUGUUCAGCACCUAUUAUUUUCUUCCUUAUUUACACUUCAGUAUUGACACCUGAGCUGAGAAGAUAGUGGAAAAGAUCAUGAAAUGUCCUCCAGCAGAAGAAUUUAAGCCAAAUCUGCUCACAAAUAUUGGCAGACAGAGUACCUUGGGGUUUAUUUUUUUAGAGUUCAAGAAGUUACUCAGGAACAUUUAAAUUUUAUAUAACUCUCUUACAGUGUGAUAAUUUCUUUCAUAAGCAAUGAAAGAAAAUUUUUAUCAGGUCUGAUGAAUUCAUCACCUUUUUUCAUAUAAACUUGUCAAAUUAUUUUUUUCAACAUGCACUGCACACCUGGGAUUUCAUUAAACAGUGUCAAAUAUGAGAUUUUUGAUGCUUUCACCUCAAAAAUUCUGCUCUAAUGGUAUCCUACACAUAAAUUAACUGUGCAGAUUCCACACACAGUAAGAAGAAAAUUAUAUAUAUAUUCAUUAUGCUUCUCUGAUUUAUUUUAAUUUUUUCAGUCUCUACUUAAAAUUGUUGUGGGGGAAAAAAUAAUCAGUAGAAAAGCAUCAGUAAUAAAGAGUGGGGGGUAGAGAAGGCCCUUUCUGAAAUAUUUGAAAUUAUCUAGUCACCUAAAUAGAAUUUUCCACUUUUGUAUCUUCUAAUCUUUCUUGCUUUUGUCCUGGUCUAUGAUGUUUUCCAUAUGGAGCAAAUCUGGAGAGAAAAAAUAAAAAGUGUUUUGGUGUCUGGUUUCAAGAGGAGUGAAUACAUUUUAUAAACACAAGGAAGAUUGUGAACCAUGCAGGAAGUUGAAGAACAUAGCUUCAGAUACCUGCAGGGGAUUUUAUCAGGACAGUAAAACAAUCACUUUAUUAUCAGCCUGCUUCAAGAACUUGUUCCUUUCUAAGCUGCAGCUCUUCAAAGGGUAAUCUGUGUGAAUGAACUUUGCAAGACUGAACCCUCAGCCCCCCAAACUUGAUAACACCACUCUGAAUGACUUUGCACAUGGGAAUAGUCCUCUUGAUCUCAUUUCAGCACUACUGACAGACUGCAGAGGAAAAAGUCCAAUGGAGUCGUCCUAGAAGUUAUUUAAAUACCAAAGUCUAUUCAGAUCAAUGCAUUGAUUUGCAAUCUGGGAAAUGCCAUGAGUUGACCUUCUACAUAAUCUCCUGAGGAGCUUCAAUUUGCCUUUGUUUAUUCAAUUAAUUGAUGAAAGUAUAGAAUCUUUAUUUUUUUAUGCAAGAAUAAUUCCCCCGCCCUAGUCCCAGAUGUUUUCCUGGAUGUAAUUUCAGUGUGUCUUAUUUAAUGCUUUUGAUUAAAUUUGUAAUGCAUUUAAAAUAUCAUUGUGUCCAAUCAAGUGCACACAGACACGUGCAAAUGAAGUGAUUCAUGCAAUGGGAAUUAAAUCUUACCCUGCCUCGUCA